rnacentral:rRNA from 1 species
UAGGGAAUAUUGGACAAUGGGGGAAACCCUGAUCCAGCGAUGCCGCGUGUGUGAAGAAGGCCUGCGGGUUGUAAAGCACUUUAAGUUGGGAAGAAAAGCUUGCGGUUAAUACCCGUAAGUGUUGACGUUACCAACAGAAUAAGCACCGGCUAACUCUGUGCCAGCAGCCGCGGUAAUACAGAGGGUGCAAGCGUUAAUCGGAAUUACUGGGCGUAAAGCGUGCGUAGGUGGUUGGCUAAGUCUGAUGUGAAAUCCCCGAGCUUAACUUGGGAACUGCAUUAGAUACUGGUUGGCUAGAGUAGGAUAGAGGAAAGCGGAAUUCCAGGUGUAGCGGUGAAAUGCGUAGAUAUCUGGAGGAACACCGGUGGCGAAGGCGGCUUUCUGGAUUCAUACUGACGCUGAGGCACGAAAGCGUGGGGAGCAAACA